rnacentral:lncRNA from 10 species
AGGAAUGGCCACAUGAAUCUGAGUGGGUUACAAAUCACGAUUUAGAUGUUUUUUAAACCACACCCUUCGUAUAUUAUGCACAGAUUGCAGGCAGCAGAUUUCCCGAGAGCAAUAUGGCUAAAAAAAAAUUCAGAGUGCCUUGUAGAGGGUUGGCAAGAGUGGACUUUGGAAUAGGCUCAGUCCCGUGGGAGGCCAAGUGUUAGCAGAUUAUAAGCCACUAAGUAGUUCACAUGGUUGGGGAAUGGGGAAAGGGAGUGAGGGAGUCUAAGAAACAGUCCUUCCUCACACUUGAAGGAACCCUCACACAGCUCUGGGGUGGUUCAUUUGAGACCACAAAAGACCAUUGUUUUUCACAUGCUGUCCACUCUGGGACAGCACCACAUAGAGGAGAUUUGGGAGGCUGAGAGUUUGCAUCCAGUUCUGCCUUUUUGUGUGACCUUGUGCAAAUCAGACUUUUCUAGGUCUGUUCUUUCUAGGAUGAUUUCUUGAAAGCAAGUUUGCAGACACUGAUUGAUCGAUUCAUUCAUUCAUUCAUUCAUUCAUUCAUCCAUCCAUUCUUUCACUGAUUUACUUAGAUACCAUCCUAGGUACAAAGGAUUCUACAGCUGAGUAAGGUAGAAUGGUUCUUGCGCUUAAGCACCUCGCAAUCUAGAGCUGCAAUGUCCAAUAGUACAUUUAGCCACUAGCUACAUGUGGCUAUUUAAAUUUAAACUUAAAUGAAUUUAAAGUAUGCAUUUUGUACAUGAAAUAAUUUAUAUAGUAUAAUAAAGAAUAUAAAAUGUAUAUAUAAUAUACAAUAGAAAAUAUGUGGCCAGGUGCAGUGGGUCAUGCCUAUAAUCCCAGCACUUUGGGAGACCGAGGUGGGUGGAUCAUUUGAGGUCAGCAGUUCGAGACAAGCCUGACCAACAUGGUGAAACACUGUCUCU